rnacentral:rRNA from 1 species
UACGGAGGGGGCUAGCGUUGUUCGGAAUUACUGGGCGUAAAGCGCACGUAGGCGGCUUUGUAAGUUAGAGGUGAAAGCCCGGAGCUCAACUCCGGAACUGCCUUUAAGACUGCAUCGCUAGAACGUUGGAGAGGUAAGUGGAAUUCCGAGUGUAGAGGUGAAAUUCGUAGAUAUUCGGAAGAACACCAGUGGCGAAGGCGACUUACUGGACAACUGUUGACGCUGAGGUGCGAAAGCGUGGGGAGCGAACAGG